GGUGCUAAAUAGUGACCCGUUUAUUAACAGUGAUGAGCAGGGUCAGGUGCUAAAUAGUGACCAGUUUAUUAACAGUGAUGAGCAGGGUCAGGUGCUAAAUAGUGACCAGUUUAUUAACAGUGAUGAUCAGGUGCUAAAUAGUGACCAGUUUAUUAACAGUGAUGAUCAGGAUCAGGUGCUAAAUAGUGACCAGUUUAUUAACAGUGAUGAUCAGGUGCUAAAUAGUGACCAGUUUAUUAACAGUGAUGAUCAGGAUCAGGUGCUAAAUAGUGACCCGUUUAUUAACAGUGAUGAUCAGGUGCUAAAUAGUGACCAGUUUAUUAACAGUGAUGAUCAGGUGCUAAAUAGUGACCAGUUUAUUAACAGUGAUGAUCAGGUGCUAAAUAGUGACCCGUUUAUUAACAGUGAUGAUCAGGUGCUAAAUAGUGACCAGUUUAUUAACAGUGAUGAUCAGGUGCUAAAUAGUGACCAGUUUAUUAACAGUGAUGAUCAGGAUCAGGUGCUAAAUAGUGACCAGUUUAUUAACAGUGAUGAUCAGGUGCUAAAUAGUGACCAGUUUAUUAACAGUGAUGAUCAGGUGCUAAAUAGUGACCAGUUUAUUAACAGUGAUGAUCAGGUGCUAAAUAGUGACCAGUUUAUUAACAGUGAUGAUCAGGUGCUAAAUAGUGACCAGUUUAUUAACAGUGAUGAUCAGGUGCUAAAUAGUGACCAGUUUAUUAACAGUGAUGAUCAGGUGCUAAAUAGUGACCAGUUUAUUAACAGUGAUGAUCAGGUGCUAAAUAGUGACCAGUUUAUUAGCUCGUUAGCAGUAGCCGUCACAUGAAAACAUGUUGCAUUGUGGAAUCCAUCGAAGACCAGCCUCAGCGUCUGACAUGCUCAGUCAGUUCGUCCUCUUGAUACGUGACAGGAAGUCAGCGAGUCAAUCAACCAAUCAGUGAAUCCUCUUGAUGCGCGACAGGAACAUGGGCCCCCAGGUCUGACCCUGCUGUGGAACAACAAGGAGGCCUAACGAGGGGUGUGGCCUAACAGGGUGAAGGUGAAGUGUUCCUGGAGUGGAAGGGCUAGCUCCUCCUCCAGGUCUUGAAGCUCCACCCCUGGACAGGUGUUUAGGACCGCC